rnacentral:sRNA from 1 species
UAACAACUGAAAGGAGGUGAUCCAGUGUCUCAUUGUCAUCAACCGCUGGUGCAAGGCGGUCGGACCUGGACUUCUUCUACCUGGGGCCCUUGUUCCGCGUGAGUUUUCGCACCUUCAGGCCCGGUUCGCCGGGUCGCGGUUCGACAAUGGAAGGGCUGCCCUCGCGGGCGGCCCU